rnacentral:rRNA from 1 species
UACGUAGGGGUGCAAGCGUUGUCCGGAAUUAUUGGGCGUAAAGAGCUCGUAGGCGGUUCGUCGCGUCGGCUGUGAAAACCUGAGGCUCAACCUCGGGUCUGCAGUCGAUACGGGCAAACUAGAGUAUUGCAGGGGAGACUGGAAUUCCUGGUGUAGCGGUGAAAUGCGCAGAUAUCAGGAGGAACACCGGUGGCGAAGGCGGGUCUCUGGGACGUUACUGACGCUGAGACGCGAAAGCGUGGGGAGCAAACAGG